rfam:Colwellia sp. PAMC 20917, complete genome.
CGUCUUCUGGGGUGUUUGUAUGUUAACUAUGUCCCUGAGCCGAUAAGUUUUAACUAAGGAAGUUGAUUAUUAACUAUUGUGCAAGCCCGGCUCGUAUCGGGAAGCCUACGGUUGAAAUGAUACCUCCGCCCUGAACACCCGGUGUUCAGGACUAAAGUCGACUGCGGCACCUUGGAAGCAUC